rnacentral:lncRNA from 1 species
UUAGGGUUUAGGGUUUAGAAAUGAAGGUUUAGGGUUUAGAGUUGAUAUUUUAGGGUUUCGGGUUAAUUUUUUAGGGUUUAGGGUUUAGAGUUGAAGUUUAGGAUUUAGGGUUUAGAGUUGAUGUUUUAGGGUUUAGAGUUGAAGGUUUUGGGUUUAGGGUUUAGAGUUGAUGUUUUGGAGUUUAGGGUUUAGAGUUGAUGUUUCAGGGUUUUAGGGUUUAUGUUUAGGGUUUAGAGUUGAAGGUUUAGGGUUCAGGGUUUAGAGUUGUUUUUUAGGGUUUAGGGUUAAUUUUUUAGGGUUUAGGGUUUAUUGAUUACUUUUUAUGGUUUAGGGUUGAUAGUUUAGGGUUUAGAGUUGAAGUUUAGGGUUUAGGGUUGAAGUGUAGGGUUUAGGGUUUAGAGUUGAUGUUUUAAAUACUUAUUUUUUAUAUAUACAAAGAACAAGGGCAUAAGAGUCUUUUGCCACUUAAUGAAGAAGAUAUUUUGGAAAAUGUCCGUUUAGUAUUGGUAAAAAAGAAAAGUGAUAGCAAAAAAGUGGUAAACAUAAAAAGUGAAUACAAUUAUUGUUUGGAUUAAUAAAAUUUAUUUAUAUAUUCGCACCAAUUUAAUUAUAUACGUAAUAGUUACUGACUUUUUAAUUAUUCAAUAUAUUUCCUAUAUAUUAAUCAUGAAGUAUUGGUUAAAUGACAAAUUUGAGAAUCAUCCUUAUAUUGCUCUUCAUGGAUUUUCCUAUUGAUGUAGAUGGAAGAGUGUUCAUCUUUUUCGCCUUUGUGUCUGCCCUGGUGUGUGGAGGUGGUUUUAGGGGUGCAAAACAUUUUAUAUAGGUGUCUCUAAACCUAGUUGGAGAGGGAAUAUUCUCCUGCUCCUGAAUUUUCGCUGCGGCGCGAAUGUCGAUCGAUGUUCCUGUAUGAGUGUUGAUCGAUGUGAGCGGUUGUUUUCCUGGACGAGGGUGGGUAUCGACAGAUGUGGAGUGUACUUCGGCGAUC